rnacentral:rRNA from 1 species
CUGCCCUGUGACCAUGAGUUUAACGGCCGCGGUAUUUUGACCGUGCUUGGUAGCGCAAUCACUUGUCUUUUAAAUGAAGACCCGUAUGAAUGGCAUAACGAGGGCUUAACUGUCUCCCUUUUCCAGUCAAUGAAAUUGAUCUCCCCGUGCAGAAGCGGGGAUUUUCACAUAAGACGAGAAGACCCUAUGGAGCUUUAGACUAAAGACAGCCCAUGUCAAACCCCCUUGAAUAAAAGGCAAAACCAAUUGGCCUCUGUCCUAAUGUCUUUGGUUGGGGCGACCGCGGGGAAAUAAAAAACCCCCAUGUGGACUGAAGACACCCCUCUUCACAACCAAGAGUCACAGCUCUAAGCAACAGAACAUCUGACCAGCAAGAUCCGGAAUAAAACCGAUCAACGGACCGAGUUACCCUAGGGAUAACAGCGCAAUCUCCUUCUAGAGCCCAUAUCGACAAGGAGGUUUACGACCUCGAUGUUGGAUCAGGACAUCCUAAUGGUGCAGCCGCUAUUAAGGGUUCGUUUGUUCAACGAUU